rnacentral:rRNA from 1 species
GGCGUGCCUAAUACAUGCAAGUCGAGCGAGCGGAACUAACAGAUUUACUUCGGUAAUGACGUUAGGAAAGCGAGCGGCGGAUGGGUGAGUAACACGUGGGGAACCUGCCCCAUAGUCUGGGAUACCACUUGGAAACAGGUGCUAAUACCGGAUAAGAAAGCAGAUCGCAUGAUCAGCUUUUAAAAGGCGGCGUAAGCUGUCGCUAUGGGAUGGCCCCGCGGUGCAUUAGCUAGUUGGUAAGGUAAAGGCUUACCAAGGCGAUGAUGCAUAGCCGAGUUGAGAGACUGAUCGGCCACAUUGGGACUGAGACACGGCCCAAACUCCUACGGGAGGCAGCAGUAGGGAAUCUUCCACAAUGGACGCAAGUCUGAUGGAGCAACGCCGCGUGAGUGAAGAAGGUUUUCGGAUCGUAAAGCUCUGUUGUUGGUGAAGAAGGAUAGAGGUAGUAACUGGCCUUUAUUUGACGGUAAUCAACCAGAAAGUCACGGCUAACUACGUGCCAGCAGCCGCGGUAAUACGUAGGUGGCAAGCGUUGUCCGGAUUUAUUGGGCGUAAAGCGAGCGCAGGCGGAAGAAUAAGUCUGAUGUGAAAGCCCUCGGCUUAACCGAGGAACUGCAUCGGAAACUGUUUUUCUUGAGUGCAGAAGAGGAGAGUGGAACUCCAUGUGUAGCGGUGGAAUGCGUAGAUAUAUGGAAGAACACCAGUGGCGAAGGCGGCUCUCUG